rnacentral:rRNA from 1 species
GCAGCCGCCGCGGUAAUACGAAGGGUGCAAGCGUUAAUCGGAAUUACUGGGCGUAAAGCGUGCGUAGGCGGUUUGUUAAGUCUGCUGUGAAAUCCCCGGGCUCAACCUGGGAAUGGCAGUGGAUACUGGCAAGCUAGAGUGUGUCAGAGGAUGGUGGAAUUCCCGGUGUAGCGGUGAAAUGCGUAGAGAUCGGGAGGAACAUCAGUGGCGAAGGCGGCCAUCUGGGACAACACUGACGCUGAGGCACGAAAGCGUGGGGAGCAAACAGGAUUAGAUACCCCCGUAGUCCCUGUCUCUUAUAA